GAUGAACGCUGGCGGCGUGCCUAAUACAUGCAAGUCGAGCGAACAGACGAGGAGCUUGCUCCUCUGACGUUAGCGGCGGACGGGUGAGUAACACGUGGAUAACCUACCUAUAAGACUGGGAUAACUUCGGGAAACCGGAGCUAAUACCGGAUAAUAUAUUGAACCGCAUGGUUCAAUAGUGAAAGACGGUUUUGCUGUCACUUAUAGAUGGAUCCGCGCCGCAUUAGCUAGUUGGUAAGGUAACGGCUUACCAAGGCAACGAUGCGUAGCCGACCUGAGAGGGUUAUCGGCCACACUGGAACUGAGACACGGUCCAGACUCCUACGGGAGGCAGCAGUAGGGAAUCUUCCGCAAUGGGCGAAAGCCUGACGGAGCAACGCCGCGUGAGUGAUGAAGGUCUUCGGAUCGUAAAACUCUGUUAUUAGGGAAGAACAAAUGUGUAAGUAACUAUGCACGUCUUGACGGUACCUAAUCAGAAAGCCACGGCUAACUACGUG
rnacentral:rRNA from 1 species